UACGAAGGGGGCUAGCGUUGCUCGGAAUGACUGGGCGUAAAGGGCGCGUAGGCGGAUGGCACAGUCAGAUGUGAAAUUCCCGGGCUUAACCUGGGGGCUGCAUUUGAUACGUGUUGUCUUGAGUUCGGAAGGGGGUCGUGGAAUUCCCAGUGUGAGAGGUGAAAUUCGUAGAUAUUGGGAAGAAACACCGGUGGCGAAGGCGGCGACCUGGUCCGACACUGACGCUGAGGCGCGAAAGCGUGGGGAGCAAACAGG
rnacentral:rRNA from 1 species